UAAAGCUAACAGUAAAACCAUCAAAGAAAAACCUUAGUGUCCAGCCGAUGUCACACAAACAUCCAACAAGAGUGAGUGAGUAUGGUUUUACGCCGCUUUUAGCAAUAUUCCAGCAAUAUCACGGCGGGGGACACCAGAAAUGGGCUUCACACAUUGUACGCAUGUCGGGAAUCGAGCCCGGGUCUUCGGCUUUACGAGCGAACGCUUCAACCACUAGGCUACCCGACCGCCCCAUAUCGUAAGAGAAGUGUUGAAAAAGAAAAGAAAAUUAUUUAGCCAGUUGUACUAGGGUACCCUACUUUGUGCACAUUUUUAUGUAUGUCAUCAGUUUUGUUUUAAUUCUAUUCCAUGUUUAGAUAUUGUUGAAACUGUGUUCAAAAUGUUGUUAAUAAAUACCUAACAAUGAAUCAACAAAAAAUACACCACAAGCAACAUGGAAUCAUUCAACCAAGAAUCACCACGACAAAUGUAUAAAUUAUUGAAACAAUUUUUCUGGUGUAAAAUAAUCAAGGAAAUAUUUUACUAUCCUGUAUAUAUACUUAAUUGAUAAUGAUGAAAAUGUUAUGAAAUAAUCAAUAUUGUAUAUGUGUUAGAUCUAGGAUAUUUCUGUGUUUCUGUUUAUAUGUUAUUACUCUGCAACUAAGUGCAUGAUAAGAAAUAGUCUACAUUGGUGAUGCUUAUACAUUACCCAAAUCCCAGUCCUGAAGUUUUAUAUCAAAUGGGUAUUGGUAAAGAAUUGGUAAAGAAUUGUACAAAAUAUGUAGUACAUGUCUUAAUAAUGAAUCUCCACUGACUAGUUAAAACACAGGAUCACACAAUCAGUUGCAGAUGUACAAAGUGCAAAACUAAUAUUUUUUAUAUGAAACCAAACAUUUUAUAAAUAUGUACAUUAUCAAUUUUGUGUUUUGAAGUGAAAUGUUUUUAAUGAAAUGAACAAAUCCUGUGUAUCAGAAUAUAUGUAUGAAAAACAGCUGGUUCAUUAAUUUUAGGUUCUUGAUCCUGAUACCUUUGUCAACCCACGGCAUCCAAGGCACAUGAGGGAGUUCACAGAACCAAGUGGUCCCGUCGACCCCCCAGGAACCAAGAACAAUGGCCAGGCAAAGCCGAUUGACUAC